AUUGAACGCUGGCGGCAGGCCUAACACAUGCAAGUCGAGCGGAUGAAGGGAGCUUGCUCCUGGAUUCAGCGGCGGACGGGUGAGUAAUGCCUAGGUAUUUGCCUGGUAGUGGGGGAUAACGUCCGGAAACGGGCGCUAAUACCGCAUACGUUCUGAGGGAGAAAGUGGGGGAUCUUCGGACCUCACGCUAUCAGAUGAGCCUAGGUCGGAUUAGCUAGUUGGUGGGGUAAAGGCCUACCAAGGCGACGAUCCGUAACUGGUCUGAGAGGAUGAUCAUUCACACUGGAACUGAGACACGGUCCAGACUCCGACGGGAGGCAGCAGUGGGGAAUAUUGGACAAUGGGCGAAAGCCUGAUCCAGCCAUGCCGAGUGUGUGAAGAAGGUCUUCGGAUUGUAAAGCACUUUAAGUUGGGAGGAAGGGCAGUAAGUUAAUACCUUGCUGUUUUGACGUUACCAACAGAAUAAGCACCGGCUAACUUCGUG
rnacentral:rRNA from 1 species